UCCUUUAAGCCGCAGAAAGGACGGAGAUUUUGACUGGUUGGCUGAAUGAAUGACCCUGGCGCUGGGGGAAGGGGAAUCUCGUCCAGGUUGGACAAGUGUCCUGUCCUCACCCUUCUUCUUGUGAUAAUGUGAGAUGAUCAAGAGCUUACACGAUGAGAGGAAGCAAGACUGUGGUACCUGGGUGGCUCAGUCGAUUA